AGCGAACGCUGGCGGCAUGCCUAACACAUGCAAGUCGCACGGGGGGGCUUCGGCCUCCCAGUGGCGGACGGGUGAGGAACGCGUAGGGACCUGUCGAGGGGUGGGGGAUAACCGCGGGAAACUGCGGCUAAUACCGCAUGACGCCGCGGCGUGACAGCCGGGGCCAAAGGCGAAAGCCGCCCGCCGAGGGGCCUGCGUCCGAUUAGCUGGUUGGCGGGGUAGCGGCCCACCAAGGCGUCGAUCGGUAGCUGGUCUGAGAGGGUGAUCAGCCACACCGGGAGUGAGACACGGCCCGGACUCCUACGGGAGGCAGCAGUGGGGAAUAUUGGACAAUGGGCGCAAGCCUGAUCCAGCAAGGCCGCGUGGGUGAAGAAGGUCGUCGGAUUGUAAAGCCCUUUCGGCGGGGACGAUGGUGACGGUACCCGCAGAAGAAGCCCCGGCUAACUUCGUG
rnacentral:rRNA from 1 species